GCAUCACCGCAUUACCGCCAUAAUGACAUGUCAACCGCGGUGAUGUGGUUAUUACCGUCAUCACCGUCCUUUAUAAAGCUCGGGAGUCUACGUCACGGCGAGUUGCAUUCGCCGAGCACAGAUGCAGAGGGGGCGGAUCCGGAGAGGAUCAAAUAAAUGAACAUGUUUAGCCAUAACAGACGGUAUUACCGAGCUGCCACGAGAAAACCGUUCCAGAUAUGAUUUUCUUCCUUAUUUGUAGUGCGAGCACAUUAGUUUAUUGCUGAGUAUGAUACAAUAAAUCAAUAGAGAUCAAUGCGAAUCAGGUUCUUAUCCUGAAUACACAAAAAUCUUUACACUGUUUUGACACAUUCACCUUUUCUAUAGUUCAUUUAUUUUUGCUUGUAAAACUUUCAGGAUUCUAUUAUUUUGUCAUAUAUAAAGGCAAUAAUAAUAAUAAUAAUAAUAAUAAUUUUUAUUGUCUCCCGUCUUUUUUUUAAGCCAAGGUUUUUUUUGAGGUAAUACCUUCAACUUCCCGCGCCAGAGAGAGGGACAAUCUAUUGUAGUUUAGGGGGAGGGGGAUUUUAAUUUGUGUCUUAUUAUUAUUAUUAUUAUUAUUAUUUUUAUUAUUAUUUAAAUCUUAGGUUUCAGUACUUGUUAUAUUGAAAAUUACAUAUAAUGUCCAAUAAAACAUGCACGAACACGGGUUUAAUUAAAAGACAAAUGCAAAAACACGCAAAUGUUUAAAGUGAUGGCCUACUUCUCUAAUGUGGUAAAGGCUAUUAUUUACAGGUAACGACAUUGUGCGAAAAAUGGCCACGAGUCUAAUUUUAGUGUCUUAGGCAAAUACUUUGUCGCCAAUAUGGGCGCAUUUUGGCUUUGAGCCAGAUGACAAGGGGCAGCCCAAGAAUUUAGACGAAGUAACCUGCCGUAUUUGUUAAAAACAAAUUUCCGUCUCGAAAGGAAAUACCACAAAUCUAACAUCGCAUCUUCGAUUGAACCAUCCUCUGGCGUUUGCUGAAUUUGGGAGCAGCACAGGUGAUAACCCUUCAACCUCAGGCCAGCAGCGACAGUUGAGAGUCUCUGAGGCCUUUGCGAGAGGAGCGAAGUACCAGAGAGACAGCAAACAGUGGCCAGUACUUACUGACUGUGUUACUCGCUAUUUGACCGAAGAAAUGGUGCCGUUCCGAACGGUUGAAAAGCCAGCAUUUAAAGCACUGCUACAGGCUUUUGAUAAACAAUAUAUGUACUUCCAGACCGAAAGUAUUUCUCUCAAACAGCGAUCCCUAAAAAGUACCUGUCAGUGAAGGACAGCAUAAUACAGGACUUGAAAGUUGUUGAUCAUUUUUCAGUGACGACUGAUAUGUGGUCAAGCGUAAACAUGAUGCCAUAUAUGAGCCUGACCGUGCAUUAUGUCAACGGGAACUGGGAAUUAAAAUCAAAAUGCCUGGAGACUGUGUUCACUCCAGAAAGCCACACGAGUGAAAACCCUGCAGAAGCCCUCCGGUCCUGCUUUCAAGAGUGGUCCCUGGAUGAAAAGAAACUUGUCUGCAUUACCACAGACAACGGGGCAAAUGUUGUGGCUGCAGUGCGAAAACUUGGGUGGCAAUGGCUCAACUGCUUUGGCCAUAAUCUGCAUUUAGCUGUCGCUAAUUCAAUGAAGACAGAAAAGGAACGCACUGCGCGAGCCAUGGGUCUGUGCAGAACAUUGGUGACAACUUUCUCGCAGAGCUGGCAAAAGAAGAGAAAACUACAAAAAGAGCAAGCUGAGGCUCUCAUGCCCCAACAUGCUUUAGUUCUGGAUUGCCCGACCAGGAGGGGUACGAAGCAAAAAAUGGUCGAGCGCGUUCUCGAGCAAAUCCCAGCCAUUCGAAGGGUGUUGGACAACCGGUGUUCUGCCUCUGUUAAAAAGUGUAAAGACUGUGUGCUGUUCAUGUUGGACAUUUAAAUUAAACCAUUUUAUAUUUUUCAUAAAGCAUUAUUAGUCUAGUAUAAGUUUCGUUUUCCUUUCGCUAUUGUUUACAAGUAUUAUGCCGGGACUUUUAUUUUGGCGCAUUUCCGCCGGACUCUUAUUUUGGCGCAUUUCCGGCAGUUUCGCGCUUUAGAGAACUGAAAGCAAUGGACGGGCAGAGAGCACAUAAAGAGUUUCUGUCCUCCUCUGAAUCCUGCCGAAAGCAUUAGCUUUUUACUCAGUUCAAUGGCUACUAAGUUUGUGUCCAUACACAAUUAAAGGGAGCAAGAAGCUCAUAUCCUGGCUCUUGAACAGAGUUUGGCUGGCUGUUUAUUUAUAUCACACGCAAGCAAUCAUACAUAUAAAGAGAACAGUACAACCGGCAUAGCCAAUUGAUUCCGACGUGGCAGGACAUCGAAGUCCUCGAGUCAAUUAAUGCAGCGCUGAAGAAGGUCACAGAUUUUGCAGAUGCACUGUCUUCUGAGAAGACAGUUACAGCGUCAUCUGUUAAACCUAUCCUACAGCUUUUAACAGAGGAUCUUUUGCUCCCUACCGAGGAAGACACGCAGUUGACUUGCAACCUAGAAGUCUUGGAGGAAAAAUACAGUGCACCUGCAACUCAGCAACUGCUGGCAAAGGCGUCAUUCCUUGACCCAAGGUACAGGGACAUUAACUUCGAAAAUGACGUUGAAGAUGCGACCCUUGAGGAGAUGCUAGCAGUGCCCGAUGAGCUGCGUGAUGGCGGGGAUGGAGAAGGUGCCAGUUAUAGGCCUACCUUAGUGGCUGAGGAGGGAGAAGGAGUAUGCGCACCAUCAACUCCUC